rnacentral:lncRNA from 1 species
UUCUCUCUUGCCUUUCUCUCUCUAAGUCAACUUUCUCUCGUUCUCUCUCAAACCAUCUCUAUCUCUCUUCCUCUAACCACCACAAAACCUAGAUACCAUCCCCAAAACCACCGUAACACCCAGGUUUCUGGUUGAACUUCAAUCGAGAUCUACGAACCUUCAACUGGUGUUCAUCCAAAUGAUGAAUACCAACCCAGAAAUCCAUCAAACCCAGAAACCCUAACCUUAAACCUUAGAACCCUAACUCUACCGCACUACCCAAAUGAACCUUAACCCUAGCCCUUUAAACCCUAACAUAAACUUGAUGAACCCUAACCAUUUCUCUCAACCCAGAACCCAGACCUUCAACAUGUUCAUCUUCAACCUCAGAGCCCUAAACCUUACCUACCCAAAAACCUCUAGACCUUACCCAGAAACACAUAAAAUAACCCCAAACCCUAAAUCGGAAUCCUCUUAAUCCAAUCAAACAUUCAAACACCAAAUCAAACAACAAAAUUUCCGAAACCCUAAGCCAACUUCUAAAUAGUAAUCAAACACAAUCACAUAUUUAAUGGUUUAAAGAAACCCCUACCUUCCCUCCUGUAUCCAAAUUAAGUUUCAUUUUUUCCCUUCUUUCUAAUUUGUCUAUUUUUUCCUUGCUCUAGUUCCUCUGUUUCUCCUCUCUAAUCUCCUUCUUUUUUCUUUUGCAGGUGUCUCUGAUUAAUGAUGAAGGUCAAGCUCGGAACCACUUAAGGUUUCGAUGUGAAACCUUAAAGGUUCAUGAAUUGGAGCUUUAGUGAAUGGGUUAGGGAUUGCAACAACUUUUAAGGUUCAAAAUCCCCCCCCCCCCUUUCUUCUGAAUUAUACUUAGGCUUUUAUAGAUUAAAUUAGGUUUAGAAAUUCAAUUAGAUUGUUUGUUUUAGGCAAUUUACAAUUUGAUUUAGUUUUUUAGGAUUUUUGUUAUUGUAAAUGUAACAGUUUUUUCUAUGUAUU